rnacentral:rRNA from 1 species
UGAGCAACCUGCCCUUAGCUUUGGGAUAACCCUCGGAAACGGGGCUAAUACCGAAUGUUCACUGCCGGGCGCAUGUUUGGUGGUGGAAAGUUUUUCGGCUGGGGAUGGGCUCGCGGCCUAUCAGCUAGUUGGUGUGGGUAAUGGCCCACCAAGGCGACGACGGGUAGCCGGCCUGAGAGGGUGACCGGCCACACUGGGACUGAGACACGGCCCAGACUCCUACGGGAGGCA